GAUGCCUGCUAUGUCUCUUUCAUUUCAAAUAGGUCCAAUUUAACAUAUCCUAAUCAUUCUUUUAUCAUACACUCUAUAAAUAAGGGUUUUCUUUUGGCUAAAGCUAAAGCUACAACAACCUAUAUGCUCUCCAAUAUCAUGAAGGCCUUCUACAUAGUAAGUUUUCUUUUGGCUUCCAUCAUCUUUGUUCCUUCCUCUAUAACAGCUCCGGAACUAUCUCAAUUAGGAGAUAAAAGUGCUCUAGGGCGUAAGCUUGCGGCACCACUGCCGGUUGGUAACACUAAAUGCUGCGUGCCUUUCAAGAAGCUGCCGAUGAAUCGGGCUCGCACGGCGUGUCCGCCAAACCCUCCCAAGUGCCAUCCUUGAAAAAAGAUGGUAAUUAUAUUAAGCUGGUUAUUGUAAUGAAAUAAGAGUGAAUGCAUGACAAAGAAUAAUAAUUUUGCUUUGUGUCACACAAGGCUAGCUUGCAGGAAAGUACUAUAUAUAUAUAUAUAUAUAUAUAUUUAUAGAAUAUAGUGUAA